rnacentral:lncRNA from 1 species
AUGUCAUGAAAUUCCCCAAUGAAGUUUCUCCUGUUUAUGGCCUUGAUGUUAUUGAUGAUUUAAGUCAAGAAGUUUUUGAUUUUGAUCAAGAAAACUUACUUUAUGAAGGUCUUUGCAGGAGAGAAGAAGUGGACAGCAACAUCACUGAAGCAGAAAAAACAGCAGACUGCUGUAACUUGCUGGAUGUGGGUGAUUUGCCCAGUGAUUUGCC